GAUUGAACGCUGGCGGCAUGCCUUACACAUGCAAGUCGAACGGCAGCACGGGGGCAACCCUGGUGGCGAGUGGCGAACGGGUGAGUAAUACAUCGGAACGUGCCCAGUAGUGGGGGAUAGCCCGGCGAAAGCCGGAUUAAUACCGCAUACGACCUACGGGUGAAAGCGGGGGAUCGCAAGACCUCGUGCUACCGGAGCGGCCGAUGUCAGAUUAGGUUGUUGGUGGGGUAAAAGCCUACCAAGCCGACGAUCUGUAGCUGGUCUGAGAGGACGACCAGCCACACUGGGACUGAGACACGGGCCCAGACACCGUACGGGUGGCAGCAGUUUCGAAUCAUUCACAAUGGGCGAAAGCCUGAUGGUGCGACGCCGCGUGAGGGAUGAAGGUCC
rnacentral:rRNA from 1 species